rnacentral:lncRNA from 1 species
GUCAUACCAACACAGGGGAGAGAGUACGGCCCCACUCAGGAGGCCGCGAGGUGUCAGUGUUAACGCAAUAGGGUGUCAGGGUUAACCAAUAGGGUUGUCAGUGCAUAAGUCAUGACCAACACAGGGGAGAGAGCACUGCCCCACUCAGGAGGCCCUAGGGUGUCAGUGUUAACCAAUAGGGUGGCAGUGCAUAAGGCAUACCAACACAGGGGAGAGAGCACUGCCCCACUAGGAGGCCCUAGGGUGUCAUGUUAACCAAUAGUGUCA